GCUGCAGCCGCUCCGGGGGCGCCCUAAAGCUGGCGCCACCUUCUGUUUGUCUCUUCGAGUGAACAAUAAAGUUUCCAAAGUUUGAAAAGGGAGCAGGAAAGCCCCCGCCCCCGAGGGCCGGGGUGUGGAUGCCCGCGGGCCCGCCGAGCUGCGGUCCGGACCCGGCGCGGGCGUGGUGGACGCGGGCAUGGGCGUCACGGUGGACGUGCACCAGGUGUACAAGUACCCCUUCGAGCAGGUGGUCGCCAGCUUCCUGCGGAAGUAUCCCAACCCCAUGGAUAAAAAUGUCAUCUCUGUAAAAAUUGUGGAGGAAAGAAAAGAUGAAACAACAGGAAUCAUCUAUAGAAAGAGGAUUGCAAUCUGUCAGAAUGUGAUUCCAGAAAUUUUAAGGAAGGUGAGCAUUUUAAAGGUACCUACUGUCCAGUUAGAAGAAGAAUCAUGGCUCAAUCUUCAGGAAAGAAACAUGGCUAUACGGAGUCACUGCCUUACAUGGACACAGUACGCAUCCCUGAAGGAAGAGUCUGUCUUCAGGGAAAGUAUGGAAAAUCCAAAUUGGACAGAGUUCAUUCAAAGAGGCAGGAUUUCAAUCACAGGGGCUGGAUUUCUCAACUAUAUUUUGGAAACUUUUGCCAGCACUUUCUUAAGACAGGGAGCCCAGAAGCAGCUCCCCUGUGCUGACCUUCUCAACCGCACUUCAAGCAUGCUGUUAAGCAGACUGUACUGUAAUUCUGAAAUUCACAUUCAUUGGCUGGCAUGCAGGAGUUCUAUUCCGUGUCAGAUUCUGCAGUAGAUAAUAAGAUCCAAAUGGAAUUAGAAUAAUGGAGAUGCUGCUGAAGGAACAGUGUGGUGCCCCCUUAGCCGAAUAAAGAAUCACCAGUUUUUGUUGCUUGGACAGUACCUGACACCUCGAUGUUUUGCUGAUUCUGACUUAUUCUUCAUGUCUUGGCUUUUCCUAGUCUUCACUGACAAAAGAGGCCUGAUCAUAUACUAUUUUUCAAUAUAUACUUGUUAUGAUUUAUAUCUAGAUGUCUGCCAAAGCCCCAAAGCAUGCAGUCAUAGGUGAGGAUUGGAAGGUGAUUGUGUUGUGGAGGUUUGGAGCUGAUUUAACGUUAGGAGGUGCCCUCAGGUGGGAAGAGGUGGGUCACUGGGGGUGUGGCCUUGGGUUUAACCCCUUGGCUGCCUACUUCUUUCUCUCUCUCCUUCCCCCUGACUAGGCAGUGAGCUACUCUCCUAGACCACGUGUCUCUACCCGGCUGUCCUACCUUGGAGCCAGCUGAGUGGGGACUGAAAUAUGAACCAAAAUAAUCAUCUUCUCAAUCGCUGGUGUUGGGUAUUGUAUCUCAGCCAUGAGGGGAUGAUUAAGACAAUACCAUAUUCAUGGAAUUUAAAAAUUAAUUCUUUUACUGGAAAGACUUGCAGUUCUUACAAAUUAUUUGAGUGUUAAGAAGCUGUAAUGAUCAUUCUCAUAAUGUACAUCUAGAGCAUUUAGAUACCUACCAGUGAAUGAAUGAAUGAAUUAAAAAGUGAUUAGUGUUUCUGAACUAAAGCUAAAAGUGAUUAGAAGCUACCAUAGAUCCUGAAUUUCUACUGUUAUCAAUGUGGUAUUUUGAAGUUAGUCACUGUUUGUUUCAGGUACCCUUUUAAAAAGAUUAAAAUUUUUUAAAAAAAUUUUUUUAAAGAAAAAAAAACAGAAAAGAAAAACAGAGAGCAACAGAGACAAAAAACAACAAAUUCAAAUCAAUAACAAUAUACACUUUCAAAACAAGAUGAUAGGAAUUUAACAAUGAUUAUCAUAUGGUGUAUUGUUAUCUUUAAAAGAGUUGCUUAGAUUCCAGAUACAGAAAUGUAAAAUUGAUCUAAUCAUAUGAGUACUAAUUGUUCUUUUCUAAGCAUUAAUAGAAUUAGUAGUAUAGUCAUGUAAGCUAUUAUAUAUAUACAUAUACACAAACUUACGUCUUUUUCCUUUUUCUUCUUUCCUCCUUUCCUCUAUCCCAGUUACUUUUUGCCCUUUGGGUAGUUUCUUAGCUUUAUACAAUGUGUAUUGUUGAUUUUGAAUCUUACUUACUCUUUCCGUUUCUUAUACUAGGGAGACAAUAUAGUAUUUACACGUGAGUUUGAUUUAUUUCACUUAUGAGUAUGGUCUUAAGUUUAUAUGUCCACUUACCUAUAAAAGCCUUGAUCUAGUUCUGCUUUGAAGCUGAAUAAUACUCUAUUCUAUAAAAAUACCACAUCUUUUUUUAUCCAUUCCUCAGUUGAUGGGCAUUUGAGUUGUUUCCAAGACAUGGCUACUACAAAUUGUGCUGUUAUAAACAUGGGUGCACAUACAUCACUGUGGUAUGGUAUUUUCAACUCUUCUAGGAAAAUAUCCAAAGAGGAAUAUCUGGGUCAAAUGAGACCUCCAAUCCUAGCUUUUAAAGGAAACUGCAGACUGAUUUCCACAGUGAUUGCACCACUCUACACUCCUACCAAGAGUGGAGAAGAGUUCCUUUUUCCCCACAGCCCUGCCAGCAUUUGUUAUUGGUUGAUUUCUUGAUUAUAGUCAUUCUUUCUGGAGUGAAACGAAAUCUCAAUGUUGUUUUAAUUUGCAUUUCUCUCAUGACUAAUGAUGCUGAACAUUUUUUCCUAUAUUUAUUUGCCAUUUGUAUUUCUUCAUCUGAAAAGUGUGCAUUCAUCUCAGAUGUCCAUUAUUGGAUUGGGUUCUUGAAUUUUGGGGGCUUGAAUUUUUUAAUUCUUUAUAUGUUCUGGAUAGAAGUCCUUUGUCUGAGGGACAGUUUGCUAAGAUGUUUUCCCAAUUUGUGUUUUUUUUUUUCACUUCGUUGGAAAUUUUUUUUUGAUAUGCAAAAACUUUUUAAUAAGGCAAGGUUCCAUUUAUUGAUCCUGGGAAGUAUUUCCUGUGCAGUUUGAUUUUUGUUAUGAAUUCUCCUCCUACCCCUAUGUCUACAAGAUUUCUACCUACUCUUCCUUCCAGCAAAGUUAGUGUUUUUAUUUUGAUAUUUAGAUAUUUGAUCCAUUUUGACUUUAAUGCGUGGUUAUAGACAUGGGUCUAGUUUUAGAUUUUGGCAUAUGGAAAGCCAGUUUUCCAAGCACCAUUUAUUAAAGAGGCUAUCUUUCUUCCAGUGUACAUGUUUGGCCCCAUUGUCAAAGAUGAAGUGUCUGAGUGUGUUUGUAGCUGUAUCUGCAUCUUUUAAUCUGUUCCAUUCAUCCUCAGGUAUGGUUUUUUUUUUUUUUUUCCAGAACCAUGCAGAUUUUACCACUAUAGCUUCGUAGUGUAAUUUCUUUUUUUUUUGUAUUUUUGUAUUUUUACCGGUACCAGGGAUCAAACUCACGACCAAGCGCUUAUGCCGCUGAGCUAAAUCCCCAGCCCCCGUAGUGUCGGAUUUCAGGUCACGGAUUAUGAUGCCUUCUGCCUUGCCUUUGUUGCACAGGAUUGCUUUUGUUAUUCUAGGUCUCUUAUGUUUCCAAAUGAAUUUCAGGAAUGUUUUCUCUAGAUCUGUAAGGCAUUUUGAUUGGAAUUGCAUUAAAUCUGUAUAACUUGUAGGAGUAUGGCCAUUUUCACAAUGUUGGUUCUUCCUAACCAAGAGCAAAGGGUACCUUUCCAUUUUAUGAUAUCCUCUUUAAUCUCCUUUUUUAGUUUACUAUAUUUUUCAAUGUAUAGAUCUUUUGUUAGGUUGAUCCUUAAUUAUUUCAUUGUUUUGGAUGCUAUUAUAAAGAGUGUGGUCUCUCAUUUCUUUCUCUGUGAGUUUAUUGUUUGUGUACAGGAAUGCUAUUGAUUUUUCAGCAUUGACUUUGUGUCUCGCUACACUGCUAGAUUUGCUUAUUAACUUUAGUAGACUUUUGAUAGAGUUUUUGGGAUCUUCUAUGUAGAGUAUUAUGUUGUCCACCAAUAGUGAUACUUUAACUUCUUCCUUUCCUAUCCUUAUUCCUUUUAUUUCUCUUUCUUGUCUAAUUGCUCUGGCUAAUGUUUCCAGAAAAACAUUGAGUAGGAGUGGUAAUAAUGAAUAUCUUUGUCUUGUUCCUGAUUUUAGGUUGAAAAUUUUUAGUUUUUGUCCAUCUAGUAGAAUGUUGGCUCUUGGUUUAUCAUAUAUGGUUUUCAUCAGAUUGAGGUAAAGAUGAUCUAUUCUUAUUUUCCAUAGGGUUUUUAUUACGAAUGAGUGUUGGAUUUUGUCAAAAGCUUUUUCUGCAUCUAUUGAUGUGAUCAUGUGAUUCUUGUCUUUGGCUCUGUUGAUAUGGUGUAGUAUGUUUAUCAAUUUGCAUAUGUUCAACUGCCCCUGUUUUCCUGGGAUGAAUUCCACUUGAUUGUAGAGUACAAUCUUCCUGAUGAUUUUGCUACAUUUUAUUUUCCAAUACUUUAUUGAGAAUUUUUGCAUCCAUGUUCAUUAAGGACAUUGGCCCAAAUUCUCUUUUUGGUUGGGUCUUUCUCUGGUUUUGGUAUUAGGUAAUACUUGCCUCCUAGUAAUGAGUUAGGGAGACUUGCUUCCCUUUCAUUUUCAUUGAAAUGUUUGAGGAGUGUUGGCAGUAGGUCUUCCCUAAGUUUCUUGUAGAAUUCAGCAGUGAAUUCAUCAGAACUUGGGCUUUUCUUUGUUGGUAAGGUUCUAAUUACAUUUUCAAUUUCAUUAAAGGAAAUUACAUUAUUCAGCAGUUUUACAUUUCCUUGAUCUAUCUUUGGUAAUUCAUAUGUUUCUAGGAAUCUGUCCAUUUCUUUUGUGUUAUCGAAACCAUGAGUGUAAAAGUUUUCAAAGUAGGUAUUAAUGAUCUUCUAUAUUUCCACAGGAUCUGUAGUGAUUUUACUCUUUUCAUUUGAUAUUGCAUGGAUUUGAGUUUUUUAUUUCCUCUUUUUGAUAAGGUUUGGUAAGGGGCUUAUCAAUUUUAUUUUUCCUUUCAAAGAAUAAGCUCUGGAAUACAUUAGUUUUUUAUAUUGUUUUCUUAGUUUCUAACAAUGAUGUUUAAGAGACAUGUGGUUCUUACUUCAGGGCCAUAACACUAAGACCUCUAAUUUGUUCCCCUUAAAUAAGACAUCUCGAUGGACUAAUGUUUAAUUAGCUCAUGACCAACAUAACUAUGAUUUUCAAUUGCACUGAUUUCUGUUCUUCUCUUUAUAAUUUCCUCCUUUCUUUUGGAUUUGGGCUUGACUUACUCUUCUUUUUCUAGAAGUGUGAGGUGCAGCAUUAGGUUGCUUAGUUGUGUUCAUUUGAUUUUCCUGAUGUGGGAAUUUAGGGUUAUAAAUUUCCCUCUGAGAACUGCUUUCAUUGUGUCCCACAGGUUCUGGUAGGUUGUAUUUGCAUUUUUGUUUAACUUUAAAUAUUGUUUAAUUUCCUCUUUAAUUUCUUCUGUAGUACAUUGGUUGUUUAGGAGAGUAUUAUUUAAUUUCCAUGUGUUUAUAGGGUUCUUGUUGUGUUUUUUUGUCAUUUAUUUCCAAUUUUAUUGCACUAUGGUCAGAUAAUAAGCAUUUACUUAAGCGUGUUCUGUGAGCUAGUAUAUGUUCUAUUUUAGAGGAUGAUCCAUGUGCAGCUGAGAAAAAAAAAUGUGUACUCUGAUGUUGUUGGGUAGAACACUCUAUGCACAUCUACUAGGUCCAUUAGUUCAGUAGUUUGAUUCAGUUCUGUUAUUUCUUUAUUGAUUUUUCGUUCAUUGAUCUGUCUCUUUGUGGCAAUGGGGUGUUAAGGUUCCCCAUUAUAACUGUAUUAUUACUUAUUUGACUUUUCAUGUCUAUUAAUAUUUACCUUCUAUAGUUGGGUUCUCCCAUAAUUGGUGUAUAGAAAUUUAUGAUUGUUAUCUCUUCCUCUUGAAGUUUUCCCCUAGCAAGUAUGAGUGACCUUCUUUAUCUCUUUUUGUCAUUAUUGGUUUGAAGCUCACAUUAUCUGCAAACAGAAUAGCUACUUGUGCUUUUUUUCUAGUUUCCUGUGCAUGGAGUAUUGUAUUAUUUUCUAUCCUAUGACUUUUAAUAAUUUUCUUUUGAAGUUAAAUGCAUUUCUUGUAUACAAGCAUACUCUUGGAUUUUGUUUCUUAAUCUACUCUGUCAGUUUCUUUUUACUGGUGAGUUGAGGCCAUUUACAUUGAUGGAUAUAAUUGAUAUGUACUCACUUGUCUUUGUCAUGUUAUCUUUCUGUUGUUGGUUCUCUACUUUUUCUCUCUGUGUAAGUCUUUGCUCUGCUUGGUGGUUUCCUUCUUCGGUUGUUCUUGGAAUUGUAGUCAUCUUUACCUCUUUCUAGAAUAUCUUUCAGUACUCUUUGUAGUGUUUGGUGGCCGUGAAUUUCUUUUUUGUUCUUUUUCAUGGAGAAUCUUAUUUCUCCAUCAAUUUUGAAAGAUAGUUUUGCACCAAUCAGGGAUGGAAGUUGUUUUCUCUUAAGACUUGAAAUAUUUUACUCCAAGCUCUUCUUGACUUGAUGGUUAGUGUUGAGAAGUCUGCUGUGAUUCUGAUAGGUUUUCCUUUGUAGGUCAUCUGUUUCUUUUGUCUGACAGUUUUUAGUAUUCUGUUCUUGUGCUGAAUUUCUAGGAUCUCAAUUAUUAUAGGUCUGGGUGAAGAUUUAUUUUGGUUAUGGCUAGUUGGGGUUCUGUAUGCAUCACUUAUCUAUAUAUCAGAUUCUUUUCCCAUGCUUGAAAAAUUUUCUGCUAUUAGUUCUGUAAAUAGUCUUGUGUCAAUUUGUGUUGACUCCUGGUUUUUCAUGGACACCUGUCAGACUUAUAUUGUUUUACUUUGUAUCAUUUUGUAGCUGUUGAAUUGUUGUUUCUUAGUUCCUUGUUAUUUAUAAGAGACCUUUUCUUAUGUGAUCAUUGGUUUCCAUCCUGUCUUCAAGGUCUGAGAGUCUAUCUUCAGCUUUAUUCAAGCAGUCUUGCCAGCUUUCAAUGGAAUUUUUAAUUUCCUGGAUAUCUCUUUGAAUGUUUCAUGUACUCUAAUUAUUUCUUAUGUUUUUCAUUCAAGUUUUCCAUCAUUUUCUUAUGUUCCUCUAUUUUUUAAAAUCUAUAUCUUUUUUUUAGCUACCUCAACAUGUCUCUCAUGUUUGUCAUUUCUUUUCUUACCUGAGAGAUUUUUUGUGAUCGUAUUUCUUCUAUAGCUUCACAGAGUGGUUUCUUCAGUUGCUAUCAUUUCAGAAAGUUCAGUUGUGCAAUUUUCAAUAUCUUCCACUUCAAUUGUCUCCUGGGUUUGUUCUUCGUGGGCUGAAGGAAUGAGACUGUAUCUUGCUUUUUUGUUUUGUCAUUUUCCUCUUGAACAUGUCUAACUCACCUGGCAUCCUUUUGAUGAAUUUCACUGGGAUGGUGAGCUGAGCAGAGCUUCACUACUCAGAUACCCAUGUGGCUAGCUGGAGUGUUACCCCCGAACUAUGGCACCAUGUGCUGUGAGGGGCCAUGUGCUGUGAGGGACAGAGGUGAAAAUCUCCAGGACUUGUCAGCUAGGCUUGCUGCUCCUUGAUGCAUAGCUCUGGGGCUCUGGCUUGGCAGGGCUUGGGGACCUCUAGGAUCUGUGCAGCUGGCCAGGUUUUCCCCCAAUGAGUUGUCCUGGGAUGCUGCACUGAGUAGAGCUCAGAUCUUCUGGAACCCAUGAAGCUAGCAUGGAUGCAUCCCUAAAGUAUAGCCCCUCAGGGCCUUGCAUCUGGAUGGACUGAAUUCAGAACCUCAGGGACUUAUGUGACUAGCCAGGAAACAUCCCUGGAGUGUCAAGAUUAAAUACUUUUGUAGAGUGAGAGGUGAAGAAAUGUCUUCUGAACUGGCCAAUGAGUAUUUAAUAAGUAAUAUUAAUAACAGCUAUUGUUUGUUGUUCACUAUAGGCCAGAAACUCUACUAAAUGAUAAUGCAUUCAACUUAUAAAUAAAACAUUCACUUAUUUUUGUAUAUGUUAGUUUCUUAUUUGACCUCUGUGAAUUGUAUCAAAGAGUCAGUAUGUAGUGUGUUUGACUGUGGCAGCAAUAAGGAUGUGUUACUUUGGAGACUGGGUUAUAAAAGAUCUCACGGCUUACUCCUUGUUCUGUCUGGGUCCUGGGGAGAAGCCAGCUGUCCUGUAGUAAAGAUAUCUGGGUAGCCUUGUGGGAAGCCCCACCUGGGAAGGAAGCAAAACCUCCAACACCUGUGUAAAUGAGCCAUUUUUCAAGUAGAUCCCUGAGUCCCAGUCAAGUCUUUGGAUGACCACAGCUCAGCCAAAGCUUCACUGAAACUUUAUGAGAGACUCUAAAUUAUAAAGAAUUGUCCUGGGCAAGGCUGAUGUUAUGUCUCCUCAAGGAACAAGGGCAUGUUGGAGGCAGCCCUGGGAAGCUGACCAGGACUAUAUUUUCUUCCAUCACAAGGUGGGAUAUAGACUAAUUUUAUUAAUGAGCUGGCUCCUUUUUACCUCGCCAGUAUCAACUCUACUUCUUUCUUCCAGACAGAUCUUCAUUUGUUCUUCUCAUGACUGAUUCCUUCCUACCUUUUGGGCUUGGUUUACAUGUUGCCACUUCAUGGAGUACAUCUCUGACUGCUCUAAAGCAAUAGGUCCCCUCCCUGUAUCUGUUUUUCUCCUUUUGCACAUAGAACAAUUUGUAAUCAUUUUUGUAUUUCACUUUAUUUUCUGAUUAUAAGAUUUUAUUCUUUGCCAAGUAAGAUACGAGUCAUGACUUUUUUGGAAACAAUGCAUUCUCAGCACCCAGUCCAUUCCUCGGCACAUUCUAAGUGCUUAGUAACUACAGGAUAUUUAUUUUUGUAUUUCUCAAAGAGCUUUGCAUCACUUUUGCCAUUUAAUGAGUGAUCCUUGAGGCUUCGUAUGAUCACUUUUUAAAACUGUAGCUGACUCUUCUCCUCCUUUGUCCCUCUAUCUAACCCCAGCACUCUGCUUUGUAUUUUGAGGCCUAAGUAUUUUCUUCUAGUAUGUUUUGUAAAUUAUGGAAUACUUUGUUUAUUGUCAGCCUCUGUCUACUGGAAUGAAAGUUAUAUGAGGAUAGGCAUUUGUGUGUAUUCUGUUCAUUUUUUAGUUCCUUAUUAUGUGAGUAACUCUUCUGAAUGCUAUAUAGGAAUAUUUGAUCCCAGGAACUAAAUUUUUAAAAAUUAAAGCAACAAAACUAUAGUCAUACCAUAGAUUUCAAAUUCUUCAGGUACAAUGAAUUUUUAUUUAAUUUAAGAAAACAUUUGAAGUUUUACAUUAUAUCACAUUCUUAUCUUGUUUUAUACUUCUUUUGCAAUGGUGUUUUAAGAGCAAAAAUAUAUUAUACAUGGGGAUUUUAUUAAAAAUGACCCACAUGUAAAUAUUUCCAAGUGGUACAUCUUUAUUCUAGAAAGUAAAAAGAUAGGCAUAAAGAAAAAUCCUAUAAAUUAUUCUUAAUUGUUGCUAAUAUUUUGAGGCAUGUUCUCUUAAAUUUUCUUAUGCAUAAUAUUCAUACACUGUAUUUGAAAGCAGAAAUCUGUUUUGAAUGUUAGUAAGAACCAACAUUUAUUUUGUCUUCUAAUAUCUAUCGGGUGCUUUAUAUAUACUUAAGUGCUUUUAGAUAUUUAUUUAUUUGUAUUGAUCUCAUCCUUACAACUUCAUCUUCUAGGUCCUAUUACACAUCCUCAUUUUCAUAUGAGGAAACUGAGGCACUAGAUCUGAUAAUUUGCUUGUAGUCAUAUAGCUUAUGAGUGACAGAACUGGGAUUUUGAACCAAGAUAGCAGAAUCCAUGCUCAGAAUCACUAUUCUUGCUCUCUCCAAAUUUUGCUGUAACUAAUCCCCAUCAUCAGAACGUUUCCGCAGAUGAUGCCUGUAUUUUUUCAACAUCACUUAUAAAGACUGUGUAACAUUUCAGCACAUGGGUGCUCAAAUUCUCCCAGUUUUAAAGAAUUGGUUUUUUUCUACUAUGAAUAAUGCUACACUACACACUUUGAAAAUUAAUCUUCACUCAUCUAUAUGAUGAUUUCUUAGGUCAAACUUCUUUACUGGUGUAUAACAUUCAGCAAAAAUCUGCACCUUAAGGAAUUUACAAGGGACCAUUUUGUUUUAUGCAUCUGGAUAUUAUGGAUUUGUUUCAUGAAUUUCCGCCUGUAUUUCCACUGGUCUUUGUCCAAUGACUGCUUCUGUUAAAAAUCCACUUGGUAACUUGUGCAAGUGAAAAUGUAUUCUUAAACUGAGACAUUUUGAUUGUGGGAAGAGCUAAAAAUGAUCAUGAAAAAUUCAGAAUUAAAUCCCAGCAAAAAUUGAGCAAGUACAGCAAAUGUGUACACUUAACAUUGCAGGCAAAUUGGAGUGUAUUUGAAGCCAAACAGAGAUCUUAUGUAGAUAUGGAGCAAAUUAAUCUAUGUCAACUUAUAUUUUUAAAUACUUGCCUUUUAGAAUAAUUCAAGUUCUCUCUUGCAAGAAUUAAUCUAUCUUCUCUUUGACAUUUAUAAUUGUUGACUUGACAGCAUUUACUUAGAAGUUUUUUGGGUAGUAUAAAGUAUUUAUGUUGGAAAAUUAACAUCAUUAAAUGACAUGCCACCUUUUGGGUGAAAACACUGAAUAUUUUUGCCUCAUAAAAGUGUUAGCCUGACUGUCUUGCUAGAUUCAUGGUCCUGUUCCUGGGGAAAUUCUAUCAAGUAUUUCCUUUGCAAAUAUUAAGAAACACACAGCACAGUUAUACCUGAGGUUUACAAGGUGGUGUGUAUGUGCACGUGUGUGUGAGUGUGUGCUCGUAAAUAUGCUUGUGUGUCUGAACAUGCACUCACACAUACUUGCAGAAUAGAUUGCAGAAAAGGAGCCACAAUGCAAGAUUUGAGUAAUGGCUAGAUGAAUAGAAUACCCAGAAGCCGUUUUUGCCUCAGCAACCACAACUCUCAGUAACAUUGCCGUACAAUUAACUUAAAAUUUAUUCAAUGAGCAUUUAUUGAGGAUAAGAUGUGCUCUAUACUGUUUUAAACACUGAAAUACAAAGAUUAAUGAAAACCUCAAGGAAUUCAUGGCAUUGCGGAAAAAUUAUCCAAGUGAGUAAUUAGAGACCACGAGAUAACGUCACAAAUAAUGAUAAAUGCAAGUAGCAGAAUCAGAAUGGAUCAGAGAGGAAAGGGAGUUAGGGCAAGCAUCACAGAGAAGAGCUCACAUGUGUUAGUCUGGAAGGAUACCCUCAACAAGUGGCUAAGGUGGGAAGAAAUUGUUUGAAAGCACGGAAGUGUGAAAAAGCAUGCACUAUGCACAAGAGUUUUAAGUCAGUGGUAGCGAACCUAUGGCAUUCAUGCCACAGCAGGCUAUUUGUAUCAUUGAAAGCUCUAAAAGAUUCUCUGUCUCUAACUUAAAUCAUAGAAUGAUCCUGGAGUCAGAAGAGCCUGAGUCACUGCACUCUGAUCAUAGGGCUUAUGAAGGGAUCCUGAGAUCAUUAAUCCUAUUAGCCAUGUUUGACUUAAGAUUACGUUCUCUGAGAAAAACUCAGGGAUUACUGAGAAUUUGUGAAGCUCCUUAGUAUUCUAUUGUCGACUGAUUUUUAAAAUGUUAUCUGUGACUUUAUUUUCCACUCUUUGAAGUACAUAUGUUUCCAGAGAGACAUUUAUCAUAGUUUUUUUAUCUGUCACCAAUUGUGUUUGGUCCUAAAAAGUUUCCAUUUCAUAGAAGAAAGGUACUAAAUAUUUGUUGAUUGAAAUGUUACCAGAUAGUUAUAAAGACUAAGUUAAUACUUUGCUUCAGGGAACUUCCAGUUUUGGAGAGAUGAGCCAUAAAUAGGUAAAAGAUUCCCAGUGCAAGAUUUGAAUACUGGUUACAUGCAAAGAGAAUUUACUAAAUUAUUAUAAGCUCUAAAAAUUAAUUCAAGGUUUAUUACUAUGCACUAAUAUUCAAGGUCUUGAGAAGUUAAUAUUAAGGGUCAUUAAAUACUAUCCAAGGUCUUGAAAAUGUAUAGCAACAUGAUAUUUUACUAUUGGUAAAUUGUAGUAUGUAGUUUUAGCAACUAAUUUUUAAAUAGGACAUUGAUAAACUAGAGGCGUAACAGAGAUCUAUAUGAUAUUCUUAUAAGGUCCAUUUCUGUGAGUAGACUUACUAAGUCAAAGGUUUUAAACAAGUUUAAGCCCAUAAGUUUCCAAAAUAUUUGUACCAAUUUGUGCUGUCAUGCACAAUGCAUUAACAUAAAUUUUCACCCAUAACUUUGUCAGAGUUGCAGCAAUGGCAAUAUUUAAGUUUUUCAAAUAUGUCAAUUUAAUCAGGAUGGACUACUGUAAUUUUAAUCUUACUGUAAUUUUAAUCUUUUUGUUUACUAGUAAGGCUGCCUAAUUUUCAUUUAUUUAUUAGGGUUAUUUUGAAGUCAUUUUCCUGUUGGCACCAUAACCCAAAAAGGGGGAAAGAAAAAGUUAUUUUGAAAAUGGGGAAAAUUUAGGAAUAUAGGUGCAAGGCACUGGUGCCGUGUCAGUAUAUUUUGUGGCUAAUGAAAUAAACUUCACUUUAGGAGGCUUAAAUAAAAAUGAAAAUUUAAUAAUUUACCUAAUUUAGAUUUCCUGAGAAAAGAUUUGGCUUCAGGUACAGUUUGGAGCUUAAAUGGUGCUACCAAGACCUGUUCCUGGAUUCUGUCACCUCCAUUUACAAGCCUGUAUUCAAACAAGCUCUCCUCUUGUGGUUGUUAGUAGCUAGAGCAUUGCCCACAUUCUCCAGUUCCAGGUUAAGUUUCAGAUGGAAGUGCUGACUCCUCCUGAUCUCACUGAGUCUGACUGAGUCACUUGAGCAUCCUGCACCAAUCAUGGAGGCUGGAGAAUGUGGAUUUUUAAUUGCCUUCGACAUGGGUCACAUGCUUCACUGCUAAAGCUGCAUUGGAACUGAACUCUUAACUGUGAAGACUGAGAGAAGAGGAUCCACAGGAAAUCAGAAGUACAGUGAAUAGAAUGAAAAUAUCCAUGUUCACCAGAAAAAUCUUUAUUUGAGAAAGACAGGAGCUUUGCAAUGCAUGCAUCCCUGGGGAUACAGAGGUCAAAGGAUGAAAUGACUAUGGCUUUACGUGACCUCAAGCUGCCUCUGAUUCAGCUGUGAUUCCUUUCUCACAUGUCAGCCUAUCAGGGUGUGAGCUUCUCUUUCUCCUUACACUCCCUCUUGCUUACGUCCAUUGCAACUGAGUCUGGUCCUCCACUUCUGGUCAGGAAGGCAUCUCUGGAGACAGAGCCUGGAGACUAUUCUAACCUAUUGUCUGACAGCCCCAACUCUGUCUUUUUUACUCAACUCUUUGAUACUGGGCCUGGGACUUGGCAAACCACGUUUCUCCUUUGCUGUGUGAUUCCCUGUUGGGCUCUGCCAAUACUGGAGGGGAAGCCAGAAGAAGACGUGGCACUAGAUAAGAAAGAAGCACCAUGUUCCUCCCUAUUUACACAACCCAGCAAUACUUCUCCACCUUGGGAGUCAUACUUGCAUUCAGUAGCAGCUGUUGAUUCCAGUCUGUAGUUUUUCUAAGGCUCUCUGAUUCUGCUAUUGGUGUCCUCUGAGGCACUGGCCCUUGCCAACCAGCAUCUCCUGGGAGUCUAAGUCUCAGCCCUGCCAGAGGCUCUAAACUGCAGAUGGACUGACACCUGCCAGAGAGCGUCCCCACCUCAGAGAUCUGGGCUUGCUCUCCGCAGCACCCUUCCUCCCAACUUACAAAUUUUAAUAAUAUCAGUAUCUUCUUUGUUCCCUCAGCCCUCAUUGUGGUAGCUGUUUCCUCCAACUACUACAUUUACCAGACUCCAAUGUCUCUUUUUGGUCUUUUCAGUUUUUCUAGUAUCUGGUUAAUUCUUUGUGUUUAACUAUUUUCACUAAAAUAACUGAUGGUGGCAGAGGCCUGACUGAACUCUGACUGAGGCAGUGGCGGUGCCAGCUUGACUGUCAUUCUGCAGUCCUUUGAGCUAAGCUUGAAGAAGAGCAAUCUGAUGAAAAAUUAAUAUUGACUUUCUGUUUCUCUGAUGCUGAGGUCUGAACCUCCAGGCCCUGCCUGGUUUUUACAGCUGCCUUGCCGGGUAUCACCCUGACUCUUGUGUUAUAGGUGCAUGAAACUUCCUUCAAUUUUUCCAGUGUGCAAUGCUGUGUCACCAUCAGGGCACCGAACAUGACUUUUCUGCGCUAAGAAUAUUGAUUCUGUCUACUCUUUAACCUGAAAAGCUCUCACAUAUUCUUCAGGUGCCAACAGAGAUGUUACUUCCCCUGGAAGCCUGCAGUUCUUUGCCUCUAUUGCAGCAUCCUGUACGUUCCUUCUGGGGGUACACAUUAUGUCCUUGUCUUUCUUAUUCACUGGAUUGCAAACUCCUUGAAAGCAGUACCUGGAACUCAAGAGAUACCUUAAAAAUAUUUGACAAGAACUUCUUUAGAAAAUUUCAAUGCCUUCUUUUUACUAUUAUGAAGCAAGGACACAAUUUCAGCUACCAUUACUGCUGAUACAAGUCACGCCCUAAAUGACUACUGAGAGUUUCAUGUCUCAUCCAAAGGACAAGCUAAUGUUGUAAAAAUUGCUAUCUGAGAUUUGAGGGCAACAAACAAGGUGCUUUUAAGACCUGGGACGUCUCUGAAGCUUCCAUGUGUCACACUAGUGAUGAAGGUGAGCAGAGAUCAGCUAUUGAUUCAUUAGGUUAAAAGCCUUCCCAUCAUCCAGAGCAACUGGAGACCUUGUGUCAAAGAUAUUCAGCAAUAGAAAAUGUCAAGCCCUUGCACAUACGAUUCCAGGAUGCUAAGGCGAGGCCCUGCAUAUUAGAAGGAAUACUUGGAAUGUGUCUGCCUUUACGAGGUUGUGCCAUGUAAUAAAAACAAAAUACCAAAACAACAACAACAAAACUUGCAAAAAAACAAAGACUUGAGAGUCCAGACUUGGUUCAAAUCUUGGCUUGGUUCUAGCUUCAUCAGGUAACAAAAACUUCUGUGAAAUUUUUAGUUUAUUUGGGGAAAUAGAGCUUAUAGCAUCCAUUUUACUUAUUUGUUCAGAACUAAAUAAGAUAAUUGAUUUAACGCAUAUAACAUACAUUGGGAAAUAUUUGUAGUUUGUAGAAAAUGACCUCAUUCAUUCACUCAUGUAUUCAAAAAAUCAUUGAACAUUUCAUAAAUGCUAGUGAUUUAUAAGAGAAUAAGUUAGAAAUGUCCUUCCCCUCAUGGAGUUUUUACUGGUGGGAUACAAUCUGAAAUGGAAAAAAAAUCUGUAAAUAAAAAAAGGACAAUUUUGUCAGUUGAGUUAAUGAUGUGCUUUUACUCCCUUCUUUUCUGACCUAGGAUGUAGUCUAGGGUCACAUGUUGCACUUGGUUGUCACAUCCUGUGUUAGUUAUCUUUACUCAAGAGGCGUUCACUGGCCUUUCACUGACCUUCAUGACACUGAUGUUUGUUGAAGAGUCCAGGACACUUACUUUGUAGACUGGCUUUGUCUGACUGUUUUUUUUUUUUUUUUUUUAAACUGCACAUUUUAAGGGCAUAAAGCCAGCAAACGGCAGAGCUAAGACUUGAGCCCACCUUUCCUGACCCUUUAUGUUGUGCACUUUCCUUUUAAAAGCUUCUAAGAGAGCUUGAGGUCAGGAGACCUCAUAGCUCCAUUCCCCAAACAGUCUGUUAACACAGCUGGGUUGUUAAAUAAUAGCAGUAUUGACGUAGUAGCAACCAGAGAGAACACCUCUACCUAGGUGAACCUGGCUAUUUUCUUGGUUGUCUUUAAUAUCUCUGAAUCUGAAUGACAAUUUUUUAAAAAAAUCUGUACUUAUUUUAUUACUUUUCUGUCAUCAUCUCUCAAGGUGACAAUUUGUCCUACUUUAAUAGAGCAGCUGGAAAAAACAUUAGGAAAAUUAGACCCAGUAUAGGUAGAAUGCCAUAAGAUCAUUUCAGUGCUAUUAUGAUGUACUUUUCAGAACUGCAGGACACUGAACAAAAAUGCACUAAAAUUUAAAAAAAAAUCCCUUUUUAUUUGGAAAAUUCUUUUUAAAAGCUGAACAAUUGCAGCAGCUAAUCUAUAAUUUACUCAAAUGUUGGGUACUUUAUUAUAUUGAUAUGCUAUGAGUUAGCUCACUAAAUUUUCUCCAAGAAAUUGGGAGACAAAAGAGGCAAGUAAUUGGUGCUCUGAGUCCAUGUUCUGCCUUCCAUUUCAUGAAUUGCAUCACACAUACAUUUUAAAAUCUGCCCAGAUGUUUUUUUUUUUAAGUCUCCAAAGCAGCCCAAGAUGAACUUUUACAGCUUUUGGACUUCUAGCAGAGCAUUUUGCUGCUGUUCCAAAAAUACGGUUAGAGGCUCUCUUUGGCUGGGGCUGGAAAAGACCCUUUCCCACCAAGUUCUUGUUGCUAUAGGGUAUGAUGGUGCUGAGAAUGAAGGGAUAUUUCAAAUAUGUGUCUCAUUGAUGAGAAGUGAAGUGAUACAAGUGGUUGUACUGUUUAUUCAUAUUGUGAAUGACUUGUUAUUCAUUGACCGUCCACUUUUAGCCAGGACUGCGCCAAGAGGAUGAUUUAAAAAUGAGUAACUCAAACACUGUCUCUCCCCUCAGAGACUUCGGUCUUGUGUUGUGGGCUGUGGGUUAGGCAAUUACACAGGCUCAGCAUGGGACACUAUAUGAGGUCACUUUACCUACCUGCCAUCAUUCCUCCCUCUGCUGCUAUCCAACUGCCUCCUCUCACAGGGAGUUUCUCUAUAGUCUUAGUCUUUGCCCGAGUUCAGGCACAAGGAGGGAGCAGAAGUCAGGCUUUCUGAAGAUUGCUUUGCCUUGGGGGAUCUCAUUCUGUCUAAAGGCUGGGAUAUCCCUGAGUAGAGGCAGUGCUAAUACCACUUGGUAAUAAUAAUCACAGCCGUAAUGUUCACCAUCUUGCCUCACUUCCUUAUGCUGUUCUGCUGCAUUUUCUUCAGUUGGUCAACUUCCAUGCUACACUGGUUGAUAUGGAAUAAAUUGUGUCCCCCUUCUAAUCCUAAUUCAUGUAUUGAAACUCUAACCCCAGUACUUUGGAAUGUGGCUUUAUUUGAAGAUAGGCCUUUUAAAGAGGUGACUGUUAGAAUGAGGCCAUUAGGAUGGGUUCUAAUCCUCGGUGAUGGGUGUCCUCCUCGGAGAGGAAAUGCAGCCAUGUAUUCUAUGCAGGUGCACAGAGGACAUCCAGGGAGCAUGUGGGGAGAAAGUUCCUGUCUGUAAGCACAGGAGAGAGUCCUCAUAAGACAUAAAACCUGCUGACACCUUGACCUUGGACUUCCAACUUCCAGAACUGAGAGAAAAUAAAUUUCUAUUGCUUAUAGUUCACAGCACUUGUUACAGUAUUCAUAGCAAACUGAUGCCCUGGUUGUAAUAUAGUUUGGACUAUGCUUGGUAAUAAUACUUUUAUUAAGUUCAUGCUAAAUUUUAGAGCUAACAUGAUGACUUCAUUGCAUUGUUAGAUACUUUCUGAGUAGUCUUAUUCUCAUUUUGAAAAUUAGAUAACUGAAAUUUGGAGAAGAAUGUGAUUUACCUAAAUUUACAGAGCUACAAAUGGGCUGAACUGGGUUCAAACCCAAAUCUUUCUUACAAUGGUGCCUCAUUUCUUAACCACAAUGCAAUAUUUCCUGGAAAUGCUGGUUUUCUCUGCUUCCUUUUCCUACUGUAAAUGAUGCUCCUUCUUCCUCUAUGGACUUCUGCUUCUUUUCUUUGGAGCACUAGCUACAAUUUAUGAUUAUAAAUUAAAUUCUAUGAUCAUGCAUUUCUGUGUUUGCCUUUCUCAGUAGUUCUCAAUGUAGUGCUGUGCUUAUGGGGUUGAUUUUGGAACAAGCAGUGUUGCAAGCCUUAUUAAUUUUUCUACUAGGUAAGAACUAGCCAACCCUUUGUGUAUAGAGAAAUAAUCCACCUCACUGGGCAUUGGCAAGCAGUAGCAAUUAGUACUGGCCUUUUUAAUUUAUACCUUAAUAUUGUGCACACGUGUCCUCAGGCAUGAAGCGCGUCCCUGGACCUUACCACAUGGCAGCACUGGUAUUUGUUCUCCUGUUGAUUCCUGUCAUGAAAAGCCCUCUUGACUAGGAGGUUCUAGGACUCAUUUUUCCAUUUUUAAAAUGCAUUUCAAGACAGGAAGCUGUGAGCUACAUGGUGCUUUCAUGGAGGAUUUCCCACCUUCUUUUAUCUUGAUUCUCCAUCCUGUUAACAUCUGGGUGGAGUGGUAGUGCUUAUUUUGUACUUGAUGAAGUCUAAAAAAUAAUCAAUCCAGAUGUGUUACAUCGGACUGUGGCUCCUCAAUGAACAAGAUCCCAGAAGAUACUUGUUGUAAAGGUAACACUGUGUUAAUCACCUACUAUAGCCAGUAUAAUAUUGUGAUGAUAAUGGUUAUUAUUUCUCCAAUAAUGUUCUCCCACCAGAGAUGGAAACCUAGUUAACAUUUACCCUCAACCAAAACUGUUGGAAAAACUUUAUCUGCCUCCCAAGGGCUGAAUUUCAUAAAGACAGAUGAUCUUUUUUUCUCUAUGUAGGCUUUUAUUUUUAGAUUUGCUGCUUCCUCCCCCACUUUCCUUCCUAUUUAAUGGUUUUAGAAAAAAUGAAUAGUAUUCUACAUUUUUAUAUUCUAAACAUCACUCCUGCAUAAUUCUACUCAGCUCUUUGUUGUUCUUUUUUCCAAGUUAUGGUUUUAAAAAUAAUCUAGAACUAAUUUGUCUAAUGAAUAUGCAAUUAUGGCAAGAGUCUUUUUGAAGUUUUUGAAAACCUUCCGUCAGCAUGUUUCUGGGACAUGGAAAUGAAUGUAGCAUCAGGCACUUGGAAGCUGUUUCUAGUCUGGCAUGAGCAGGUAUCAUUUCUCCACAUUUGAAAGCUGGGCAUGAUGCAGACAUUUUCUGUGUACUUACUGUGGUUAGCUUAGUGUGGUUGCUUUCUAGCUUAGCUCCUUCUGUUAGUGCAUCAUUCCUAUUGGAAUGCAGGGGCUGAAAUAAGGUUGGACAGCCAUAGCAGAAUAUAUAGGAGAGGUGCAGGCACAGUUUAGUUCUGUCUCAGCUCAUGCCCAAAGCUUACAAAUCAUAGAUACUACUUAGAGUGGGCCUAUGUCACGCGCGGCACUUUACAUGUAUCUUAAUCUUUAUGUAAGCAUAAACCAGAGAGCAAGGAAAUAUAUCCACUAUUUUCUAAUUAAGGAAAAUGAGACGUGAAGAGGGUAAGAAAUUUCUUAAGAUCACUUAGGUAGUAAGUAGCAGAGCCAAUGUUCUUAUCCACUUAUCACUGGGCUCACUUUCUGUGCAAGGCUUCAUGCUAUGCAGUUUGUCAAGUCUAGAAAUGAACUUGACCUGGAUUCUACUUGCAGAGUGUUUACUUUCUAGUAAAAGAGAAGAGACAAGCAGCCAUGAUAUGUAGCCAAGAAAAUUCAGAAAAAAGACAAGAGAGAGGGCCAUGCUAUGAAUGUGGAAGUGAAGGAAAAGGAGAAAAAAAUUCAUCACUGUAGAGAUAAAAUUUAGCCUUACAGGAGGACCAGUUUCCCAAAGUUUUUGCAUAUGCAUGCUUGCUUCCUGCCUACUGUGCAGUUUAUGGUUUUGAAAGUGGCCCCUGGACAGAAUUUUUCAAUAAUUGUUUUUGACCUGGGGAAGCAGCUUCCCCCUGUGCAUUUUUUCCUCCAGCACCUGAGUGAAGAAGCCAGCUGGGCUUUCUCCAUUGCCAAAGCAGGCAAAAGCAUCCCAACCCCAACUGAGGGAUUCAUUAGCGGCUGCUGUCAAGUUGCUGUGAUCACAGGCUGUGACAGGCACAGUGCCUUUGCAGCCCUCACUGGGCACAGGUCAUUGUUGUUCUCCAUUAAACAGCACAGGGCUUGUUGCUGAGUGCCAGAACGUGACACCUUGUGAACUGUGGCCUUUCUAGGUGAUUGUUUUUCUUUGUUCUGGCAAUUGGAACAAAGUGAUUUCACCCAUUCGCAGUCUUUAUUUUUCCCUUUGUGGCCAGCAUUUAUGUCAAUGUCUUUUUUUUUUUUUUGGUUGCUGAUUCCAGAAGCAUUGCAACUAACGUAAGUACUUUAAGGAGAAUUUGACAGAAGAAUCUCAGUGACUAAACCCAAGAAACAGAAAAGUCAUCAGGAGUCAAUGCAGUUACUUUCUUGGUAGUUAUUUCUGAUGGAUUUCAUGUACUUAUAUUUCUGGUUGUUUCUGCACAUCUGUUUAUUCUCUAUCAAACUGUUUGGGAAGUUAUUUCUUUGCAUAUGUUCAUGCCACAGUACAGUUUGCCGUAUCUCUAACUAUUGUCCUACUUUGAACUACCAGAAGUUUAUCGAGGCUCUAAUGUUUCAGCUGAGUGUACGGAGCCACCUACUCAGGCCUGGUCCAAUCAGCACAGCCUAAUGUAGGGGUGGUGCAGGUUAACCUGGACUGCAGGCUCUCUUGUCAGCUGGAGCCUCUGAGGGGGACACAUUUCACAGAGAAACAAGUAGUGAGCAGGUAUUCACACAGGUAAUCAUAUAUUUAUGAAUCAGGAAUAUGACAUGAUUUCAACUUUUCUCAGGGGUCAAUGCAGCAUGCUAAGUAACCAUAAGAGGAUAUUAUCUUUGGAUGUUUGUUUCUUUCUUCUUGGAACAAAUGGGAUUCACUGGGCUAUGAAAAGAAAGAAGUUCAUGAAAAUAUUUAUAGAAUUCAAGCUAAACCUUCUGGUGAAGGAAGAGAGGCUUGAGUUGUUUUCAACUAAUGGGAUCAGCUGAUGUUACUUAAAUACACAAGAUAGUAGUUUGAGCAUUUCAUCAAAACAGCAGUAAGACUUGAAUGGUUCUCACUGUCAUUUGGGAUAUAGAAUUAUCUCCAUGUCACAUGCCUCUUCUGCAGUGAUACAGAACUUCAAAACAAUAUCAAAUCAACAAUAGUUACCAUCAUGCCUCUUGUUGUCUUCAAAAUCGGUAGAUACCUUCAGACAUAGUAAAAAUCAAACAGAACAGAACAGAACCAAUAAGAACAAAACAAUGAAUGCAAUAAAGGACUUCAAAAUAAGACAGUAGUAAAUCCAAAAUGGCUACCGUAAUAUAUCUUGUAUCUUUGAAAUAGCUUACAUGCUAUUGGAUAUAACAAAAUCAAACAAAACAAAACAGAAUAAAACCCAACCCAACAAAACAAUGAAAAUGAUACAGGACUUCCAAACAAGAUAAUAGGAAAUUAAUAAUGGCUGCCACCUUUGGAAGGAGAUCCCCUAUAGAUGCCAUACUGCAUACCAUUAUCUUCUGAAUAGAAGAUCAGACCACCGACCCGAGACCUGCAAAGUCAGUAAAACAUCAAACACCACAUACAUCAAAUUUCAUUUCACCUUAAUAGCUAUCACUGAAACCUGUGUUUCUCAGGAUUACAGAGUAGGUGGGCUGGAAUGGUUGGCCCUUCUUGUUUUCCAGCCAGCAUGCUGGAAGGGGCUGGAGUCUGCCUGUUCCCUGGCAGCAGCAGCCCGCAUCUGGUCCUGGUUCACAGAGAGGGCUUGCUUCCUGGAGACUUCUUGUUCUCUUUCCCUGCAGUCUGCAAAUGGGGCUGACUCAUGGAAAAGGCUGAGGUCUGGCUGUCCCCUCUGGCAGCAGCGGCCCAUGUGUGGUGCUGGUUUGCAUGAUCAUUUUAUUUCUUUGGUAAGGUUUCCCAUAAUCUGCAUUUUGCUGAUUUUAUUCAUGUGGUAUCAUUAGAAGUAUUUUUAUAUUAUCUAUAUUUUCCACUAAUUGAUAACCAGAUUUAAAGUUUCAAUGAGUAAGAAUUUUGAUUUUUAUUCUAACAAUUCAUAAAUGGUGACAUUUAUUUUUAUCAGAAGUCACAUAAUACCCGGCUGUGCAUUUUUGUAAUGACUUUAACCACUGAUUGUUACCUAGAGACAUUACUAUUCAAUUAGGGAUAGAAAAGAUGGUGAUGUUCUAAUUUUAUCAAUUCUUUUUCACUAUUUAGAGUAUUUCUAUAAUAAAUAGCACUGCUCAGAAAAAAGCAUGUCAAAUGCUUGAUUCUUUCUAUUUUUUUUAGCAUCCUCCAAAAAUGACCCAUAAUUAUUUGGUUGUUUGUGUCUUUAACAGCUUUAUCACCAGGUGCUUAAAUGUGUGUGUUGUCUUUCAUUCUAUUGCAGUUACUACUUUUAGUCAUGCUUCCUUGUGAUUCUGUCACUCACUGUGUGAAUGUGGCAAGUUGAUUCAUACAUAAGAGUUCAACAAACACUUUCUGUAAAAGAUCAAAUAAUUUUUUCACAUUUUAAAAUAAUCCUUUAGAAAUGUAGUGGAUGGACCUUAAGACUAUAAUGUUAACUGAAAUUAGCUACACAUAGAAAAUAAAUAUCACAUGGCUUCUCUUAUAUGAAAAACCCAAAAUAUAAAUGCAUUCAUACAUAUACAGAGUCUGCCAAAAAAUGUACACACUCUUCAGCAGUUUGCUAGACUAAUAAAUAUUUGGAACCCAAUGGCCUCCACUUUAAGCACCUUUUGCAAUUUUAGAAGCCAAAGAUAACUAGUAACCGUAUGUCUCAAUAAAUUUAGUAUUAAAAUAUUUCUACAGGUUUCUCUUUUCCUUUUGUGUACAUCUUUAACUCUCUCUCUCCCUCUCCUUCUCCAUAUUUAUAUAUAUAUAGGUUGGGGAAUAAGACCAGAUUGUGGUAGGUAAAAAAAAGGAUUUUGUUUAUCUUUUAGUAGCUUCUUUAACAACAGAGAACUCUACCAAAGGUACUUUUGACACUUGAGUAUUUAUAAGUGGAAAGUCAAUGACCACUGUGGCAAUCAGUAGCAAAUACUCUUUAGAGUGCGUGAAGGGAGGUGAUGUCUUGGGAAAUGAGAUGAUAGAAAUAUAAUUCUCUUAGAACUUGGGACACCUGGAGAAUGGGGUGCAUUUUCUUUCCUAUACUCUGUGCUCCUAGAGGAAAGUGUAGGCUCUUCAUCAUAUACUAUGCUGCUAAUUUUGUUUGCUUAUCAUAUACUUAACAUAUAUUAUCACAUGUAUCAUAUAUCAUAUGUGUUUGCUUAUCAUAUACUAUCAUAUACUGUAUUUCUAUGAGCUUUUAAUCAUAUACUGCACUGUACUGUUUUGUUUACUUAUUUAUUAUAUAUAGCAAAUUUUAAGAACUUGAGAAAACAAUAGUUGCUUCUUAGAUCCAGCCCAUGGUAUGAACCAUACAACUCACAACCAUGGUAAUCUUGGAGAACAGUACAAAUCCUUGAAGAAAAGUUGAAAGUCAGGAGGUCUGAGUCAAGGUAUAAGUCUGCUUAGGCAGAGUUGGAACAAUGAAAAACUGAUUAUCAGUGGUGAAGCCUGUAAGAGAACAGAGUGGGCUAUUGGUUUCUGUGAUUUGUUUUAAUUCAGUCAAUAUUUCCUGAGCACCUACCACAUGCAAAGCAGUGUGUUAACAACCAAAAAUGCAAACUAAACACAGAAUCAAUCUUGUCUUUAUGAACUUUCAGGAUGAUGAGCAAAAUGCAGCUUAAUCAACUACAUAUUCAAAUAAAUGGAGACAGAACUAUACUUAGUGUUGUGUUAGGUGUGUGUCUGACAGUAUCGUGGGUCAGGGAAGCCUUCUCUGAGAAAGCGAUGGUGUUAUGGUUUGGGUCUGGAUGUCCUCCCAAAGCUUCAUGCAGUUAUGGAGGUGGGCUUCAAGAGUUUGUGAAUGAUUUAUGGUCUAAUGCUGGGAUUAUGGGUGUGGGUGUUACACCUAGGUGAGUGUGGCCUAUAUACAAUAUAAGAGACAGAAAGAGCUUUCUCUCCAUGCUCCUCCUCUUGUGGUCUUGUUGCUUGUUUUGUUUUCUGCUGCCAUGAACUCUGGUUCACUGUCAUGUUCCACUCUCCCUUGGAGCCAGAUGAUUAUGGACUAAAACCUCCACAAACUGAGCUAAAUAAACUCUCCCUUUUAACUUUGGGUGUCAGAUAUUUUGUCCCAGAAAUAAGAGAAAAGUAGCAAAAACAGGUGGUGUAGCUGAGAUCUGAAGAAUGAAUUAUUUUGGUAAAGAGGUAGGGAAGAGAAUUCUGAAGAGAAAAUAGCUUGAGAAGAGCAGGUUAGGAACAGUCAGUAUGCCUAGAGAGGAGCAGAGGAACUUGCUGCAGAGAUAGGCAGGGAUAGCUGAUACAUAGUCUUGGGCUGUGUUCAGGGUUAUAAUCUUUAUCCCCAUAACUGUGAAUGCUAUGAUGAUGGUUAAAUUCCAAACAGAUAAACUGUGCUGUGAUGAGAAGCAGGCCAGGGAUAGGACAACAGGAGCCAGUAUUUCUGUUUGGAGGUUACUGUAUUUGGAUCUAUGCCUCACAACAAUGACUAACCCUUAUGAUGUCCACUUCACGAGAGUUUUGUAGUCUAUCUGGGCUGGCAGCAUCAAGAUAAAGGCACCUUGUUGACCUACACACAAGGAUAUAGAUCUAUAAUACAGUAGAAUAUACCAUAAGUGUACAAUUAAGAGUGCUUGUUUUGGAUACAAAUGUGGUUGCCUUUUAAUGACAUCCUGAUUGUAGUGGUCAUCGCUCAUUUAUAACCAAUAUCCAAGCUGUCUAGUGUUCUCCCAUUCAAUAUGGUUUCCUAGCAAAUAAUCUUCAACUACUAGUUUUAGUGUCAUUCUACCUCUCGGUGACACAAUUAGUUUAAAGGUAACUCUGUAACUUUUCCAAGUAAUUGGUCUGGAAAUGAAUGCCUGAUAUAUUUCUGGCCAAUGAGGAAUGAAGGGAAGCUGGGGAGCAUGAAGAGGUGCUUCUGAGGAAAAUUUCUCUUUCAUAAGAGUAAUCCACAGGAGGUGAUUGUAGAUUUGAAAACAGCAACUGCCAGAAUCUUUGGAUGGUAAGAGGCAGGGAGAACUUUGGACCUGACCCGAACAGCACUAUUAAGCUAUUAGUCAACAAAAUCAAUCAUUUUCAGGGCUCACUGUGCUUCUGACUUCCUGUUACAGGAAAUAAUAACAUUCUUGAUUUGAACUUACAUUUUUCUGUUCACAGAUAACCAGUGAUCCAGCUGUGUGUACUGAUUGCUGUCUGAGCUACUUUAUCUACAAUAUGGGGUGAUAGUUAUAUGUGUUGCAUUGAAAUGUAAAUGCGAGGAGUAUACUAUGUAGUGCAUUUUAUGUGUUCAUUUCCUAACAGUUUUUCAAUAAAUGGUUACUAUGGAGGUUAAUAUUAAUCAUUUCUCACAUGAGUCAGUGAGGAUGGGCUCUGAUUAAAUAUGGCCUCAUGUCUGAUUUGAAUACUUGUCAACUAUUUGGAAACACAAAAAUAAAUAGCUAUACUUUUUCAUCUGCCUAAAUUUAUCUUGUUGCUGAGGUUUUGUUGGAACAUACAAAUAGGCUUGAGAUUGUCUGGAUAUCAUUUUUUAAAGCCACUUUGAUGAUCUAUUUCAAUGCAACCAAUUAAAUUUGUUGUGGAGAUGAUUUAAUUUGAUCAUUAGCUUGUCAGAAGGCACCAGCUGGAUAAUUACAAGAGCCAGACUUUCUCCUUUGGCUGUGGUCUCUGUCUUUUGUUGAAGAAUUUAACACAUAAGACAAGCACUGUGUAAGGAUCAUUUUGGCAGUACUUACUCUGUCACAAAGGACCACUGAAUCAAUUCUGAUAUUUCUUGAAUGUGCAGAUCAAUAGCUCAGUUCUUCUUUUCCAAAAUCCUAAUAUGACUUUUGGACCACUGUCAACAAUUCACAAACUAAGUUUCCACUCUUCAAAUGAAUUAUAUUACUCAAAGCCAAAACCAGCUUUUGAGCAUCAUGUCUAUUUAAUACUUUUUUGUUUGUUUGUUUUUGGUCUUUACAUGCAUUCACUCGGUCAUUUCUAGACAUGCACUUUCUUUUAACAUUCUCCUAAAGCCAAAUCCACUCCAUGGCACUGGCUAGAUACUAAACCCAUGUAUAAUUAGCAUACUUGGCAUCAGUAGGGAUAAAGCUAACAUAUGAGUACCAGUUGUGGUGCUAGGGAUUUUAUGUGAUAUUGUUAUCUUCACAAAACAGAUGCAGUCCCAGAAGCAGAGACACGGAAUAAUUUGCUGAAGUCUCUAGUUGGUAAGUAGCAGAGAUGGAGUUUGAACCCAGUCUUAUCUCACUUCCAAGCCCCUUUGCUGAAGAAAGUGUGACAUAGUAAGACGCAGAUUCUACAUGGCCAGAGCUUGACUAUAUUUGUGCCCAACAGCUGGCUCUCCAUUUACCAAUGGCAUAGUACUAGGCAAGUUAUGUUGUUACAAUCACCUAAUACACAUGAUAAAUGUAUUUUUAAAUUAAGUGUGUUUAUUGGUACAUUGUGCGUGCGUGUGUGUGUGUGUGUGUGUAUAUAUAUAUAUAUAUAUAUAUAUAUAUAUAUAUAUCACACUCCUUAUAGGGAGUUUGUACCUGUGCAUGCUAUACCUUGAUUCUUCUUUUUUCCAAUUCCCUCCUCCUCCCUUUAAUAGCUCUUCCCCUCCUUAUUAACAAAGUUUGUUUCAAUUUUUCCUUAUUUUUUCAGUUUUUCCUUUUUCCUUCAUUUAUCUCUUUCCCCUUCCCAGUUCCCUUCCCAUCUGAACAUUUUCUUCCUAUUUCACAGUAUCUAUUAUACAUAUUGAUCCUUGUUUACACUUUUAGGUGUCUUACACCAGCGAAAUGAUGUGAUAUAUACAUAUGUGACUAAUUUAUUUUACUUAAGAAUAUGAACUUGAGGUGCAAACAUUUAGCUAUAAAUGUCUUAAGCUUUUUCUUCUUAAUGGUAGAAUACUACAGUGUAUAAAAACUCCAGAUUUUAUUUAUCCAUUCAUCAGGUGAUGGGUGUUUGGGCUAUUUCCAAGACUUAACUGUUAUAAACUGUGCUGCUAUAAACAUGUGUGCAAGUAUAUCUCUCUAAUAGGGUGUUUUUUCAUUCUUUUGGGGAGAUACUGACAAGAAGAAUAUCUUGGUCAAAUGGUACUUGCAAUUUUCAUUUUCAACAGUGGAGAAGGGUACCUUUUUUUGCACAUUGCCGCCAGCAUUUGUUAUCAGUUUCUUGAUGGUUGGCAUUCUUUCUGGAAUGACAUGGAAUCUCAGCAUUGUUUUAACCUGCAUUACUCAAAAGCCAGACACUGAACAUUUUUUCCAUAUAUUUAUUUGCCAUUUGUACUUCCUCACCUGAGAAGUGACUAUUCAUGGCAGAUGCCCAUUUUUUGAGUGGGUUUUUAAACUUGGGGGAGGGGGUAUGAUUUAUUGAGUUCUUCAAAUAGUCUAGAUUUUAGUCCAUUGUCUGGGGUACAACUGGGAAAAAAAUUUCCCAUCCUGCAGGUAGUCUCUUCACUCUGCUGGUGAUUUCUUUUGAUAUAUACGAGCUUUUUAAUAAGAUGAGAUCCCAGUUGUUAAUUCUUUGUAAUAUUUCCUGUGCUAUUGGAGUUUUAUUCACGAAGUCUUUGCCUACACCAAUGUUUUCAAGAGUUCUACUUAUUCUCUUUCCUAGCAGACUUAGUGUUUCUGUUUAAAUAUUUAGAUUUUUGAUCCAUUCUGAUUUUAGUUUACUGUAUGAUGAGAGACACGAGUCUAGUUUUGGUCUUUGGCAUGUAGAAAGUCAGUCAUUCUAGCACCAUUCUAUUAAACGGGCUAUAAUUCUUUUAGGAAACAUGUUUGGCCUCUUUGUCAAAUACCAGGUGACUGAAAACCAUAUCAAAAAUAAAAUAAAAAGGAAAGAAAAGGCUCAAAUUCAUGCUACAAAGAAUGAAAAGGGUGAAAUCACUAUAGAUUCUGUAGAUAUUCAGAAGGAAGGUCAACUAGGAAGGAACAACCUGCUUCAAAGAUCUUUACUCUCAUAAGCUGGAAAACACAGAAGAAAUGGACAGAUUCAUAGAGGCAUAUGCAUUACCAAAGUUGAAUCAAGAAGAUAAAAAAAUUCUGAAAACCCCAAAAUGGUUAAUGAAAUUUAAAAUAUAAUUAAAAUCUUGUUAACAAAUAAAAGCUCCAGUCCUGAGGGGUUCACUGCUGAAUUCUACAAGAAAUUUAUAGGAGAUUUAAUGCCAAUACUCCUCAAACUCUUCAGUGAAAUUGAGAGACAGGCAAUAUUCCCUAACUUUCCUGGAGGCAAGUAUGUCCAUUAUCACCAUUUCUAUUUAAUAUGGUUCUGGAAAUACAAGCUAGAGCAAUUAGACAAGAGAGAGAAAAUAAAAGAAAAAAGGAUAGGAAAGGAAGAAGUUAAAUUAUGUCUAUUUGCAGAUGGCAUGAUACACUACAUGCAAGGCUCAAAAAACACCACCAAAAGGCUCCCCGAUUUAACAACCAAAUUUAGUAGCAUAACUGGAUACAAAGGCAACAGUUAAAACUCAAUAGCACUCCUGUACAAAAACAACAAACUCACUGAUAAGAGAGAGAAAGAGACAGACAGAGAGAGAGAGAGAGAGAGAGAGAGAGAGAGAUAUUAGAGAACACAUUUCACAAUAGUAUUAAAAGCAUGAAAUAUUUAAGAAUCAAUCUAACAAAGGAAGCAAAAGGUCUAUGUAUUACAAAUUACAAUACUCUGAAAAGGGAGAUCAAAGAGGAUAUCAGAAAAUGGGAAAAUAUCCAUCUCUUGCUUAUAGAUAUAAAGAACAAGCAUAGUAAAAAUGGUCGUAUUCCUAAAAUUGUUAUACAGAUUUAAUGCAAUCCUGGUCAAAAUAUUCUUAGUAUACCUCCUAGAACUAGAGAAAACAUUCCUAAAAUUCAUUUGGAACUAGAGAAAAUUUAGAAUAGUAAAAACAAUUUUGUACAGCAAAUGCAAAGCAAGAAUCAUCACAAUCUCUUUUCUGGAACUAUGUACAAAGCUACUGUGGGUAAAAUCAGCAGGAUACUGGCAAAAACAAAACAAAAUAAAACAACAACAAAACACCCUCCCCCACACACAACAGCAACAACAACAAAGAAACCAAACCUGAAAAUCAGUGGAUUACAUUAGAAGAAGUGGACAAAGCUACAGACACACUCAGCCACCUUAUCUUUGACAAAGGGCCAAAUGUUCACUGGAAAAAACAUUGCCUCUUUAAUAAAUGGUGUUGGAAAAACUGGAUCUCUACAUGCCAAAGACCAAAACUAGAGCCAUGUUUAUCACCAUGCACUAAACUAAAGCCAAAAUGGAUCAAAGAUCUAAAUAUUGAGAAAGAAACACUAAAUCUGCUGGAAGACACAGUAGGUAGAAAUUUUGAAGAAACAGGGGUAAGCAGAUAGUUCAUGAAUAAAAUGCAAACUGCAUGGAAAAUACUUCCCAGAAUCAACAACUGGGAUCUCAUCUUAUUAAAAAGUUUUUGCAUGUCAAAAGAAAUUUCCAACAGAGUGAAAAGAAAACUUACGAAUUGGGAAAAUGUCUUAUCCAACUGUUCCUCAGACAAAGGGCUUCCAUUUAAAACUUAAUUUUUUUUUUAAAUCAAGCCCUUAAAAUUCAAGGACCCAAUCUAAAAAUGGGAAUCUGAGAUAAAUACACCUUCUUCAGAUGAAAAAAUAUAAAUGGCAAAUAAAUAUAGGAAAAAAUGUUCAGCAUCACUGAUCGUUUGAGAGAUUGAAAAUCACAACAACAGUGAGCUUUCAUCUCACUCUAGAAAGAAUGGCUAUCAUCAAGAAAUCAGCAAACAACAAAUGCUUGCGAGGCUGUGGGGAAAAAGGAACCCUUCUCCACUGUUGGUGGGAGUGUAGAGUGGUACAACCACUGUGAAUUAGUAUGGAGAUUCCUCAAAAAAUAGAAUUGGAGGUUCCAUUUGAUCCAGCUAUUCCUUUUUCUGGGUAUUUUCCCAGAAGAAUUAAAAACUUCAUACCACAAAACACAUGUGUGCACCCAUUUUUCUAGCAGCACAACUUGUAAUAAAUAUUGGAACAACUCUAGUACCAAUCAAAUGAGGAAUAGAUAAGAGAGUUGUGUUAUUUUUAUGCAAUGGAGUACUACUCAGUUUUAAGAAAGGUAAACUUGAGACUUUUAUAGAUAAAUGGGUGUAACAUGAGACCGUACUCAUAAAUGAAAUAAGUCAGAGUGACAUAUGUGUAAGAAGCUGAAAUAUUAAAUAAAACAAAAUGUACACUAAAUAUUGUGAAAUGGUAAGCAAGUCUUCAGAGGGAAAGACAAUCUGGGAUGAAGGAAAGAAGGAAAAAAAGAAAGGAGAAGAAAAAAUAUGUAUACACACAAGGCAGUUAAGAUAUUUAUACUAGUGAUUUGUACUAGGUCAUUGAAAAAGGAGGUUUUUGCUAUAUUGUUUGAUCAAAUUUUUGUGCCUCUAUUUUGUAACCUGAGAAACUACUUUAAUAUGUAACACGUUAACCAUUGUUACUCCUAUUGCCUCAUUUUGAAUUUUAUUUUAUUUUUCUCUUUAGGUAAAAGAUCAGAUGACUGAGGGUGUUAGGAGUAAAUUAUACUUCAAAGUUACUGUGAGAAAAAUAACAUGAACCCAACAAGAAAACAGAUUCUAGAAUCAAUGAAAGAGGUUAGAAGGCGCAGAAACAACUCCAAAAAAAAUGUACCAUUUAAAAGCAAAACAGAAAUAUGUGCUUUUUGACAUUAUAUAAAUAUGCCUUUAUUGCACGGGUUCCACUUUGGAGUCAGUGUUAUUAGUAUUUUAAAGUGGAAGUACGAAUACUUUUGAACAAGCUGUUUAUUCUUUUUUUUUUUUUUUUUUUUUUUGGACUUUUCCCUUUUUAUCGGAAUCGGGGAUCGAACUCACGACUGCCUACUUGCAAGGCAAACGCUUAUGCCGCUGAGCUAAAUCCCUAGCCCCCAAGCUGUUUAUUCUUGACAAUAGAGCUAAACUCUUUUGGGUUGCAAUUUGAAUGCAGUUUUUUAAAUAUAUAAAACCAGUAUGUUUCCUAUUACACUCAGCACAGAAAGUGGAAUUUGAGAGUUAAAAACUAAAACUCCAUGGAAAGUAUCAACUUAAUGGUUAACAUUUACACACAUUUCUUAGACUUCUCAGGAAUUAACUAUGAGUGAUUAUGGUUUUUCCUUGCAUAUUGAGGUUUAAAAAUCAGAUGUAAUUUUAAAUAAAAUCCCCGGAAUAAUAUAUAUGUAUGUUGAAAAAUAAACUGAAUGCUUGUUUUCAAAAGAGUUUAUUAUAGUAAAAGACACAAUGCCAUUAAUCCCCCGCGUAAUACUAUAACUCACUUCAAACAUGCCCCAUAUCCUUGCCAUUUUCUGAAGCAGAUCUGGAAGCUCUUUGUUUUGGUAUUUAGUUGCUCUGCUGUGAUUCGCUUCAUGUUCUGAGUUGAUUCAAAACUUUUACUUUUCCUGAACGUUUUAAAGUUGAGAAAGAGCCAGAAGUUGCAAGGCCCCAGAUGCAAUGAGUGAGGAGGAUGGUGCCAAACUUUAAUCUUUGUUCAAGCCUUCUUUAGGUUGAAUGGCACCAGGCAGCAGUAUACAUCAUGUUUGUGUGCACCUUGUAAAAGCACAGAAGACUAGAACUGCUUCAGAAAGUGGCAAGAACGUGAGAUAUGUGUGUUCAAAGUUAGGGGAAAUAUUUGAGGGGAUUUGUCCUUUACUGUCCUUUUUUUUUUUUUUUUUUUUUGGCACUGUGUAUCAAACUCAUGACCUUCUGCUUGCCAGGCAGGUGCUUAUGCCACUGAGCUAAAACCCAAGCUACUACUAUAACAAAAAUUUUUAGAAAUUAAACAUUUAUCAUACAUUUGGAUCGUGCCUUAUGUAUUCACUAGAGAUUUCUCAUCUUUUAUCAUUAACGAAACUUCUCUUUCAUUGUCUAUUUUAUCCCCUCUAUCUUUUGUCACCACUAGAGGAGAUUUUAAAUAUUUUCAGUUUGUCACAUGUAUUCCAUUGUUUAAUGACUGCAUUAUUUCUGAAUCUGUGUGCUCUAAGCAAACACAAAAACUGGAAUAAAUUUCAUUAGGAGAUAAACUACAUAUCACAAACACUUCACAUAAAUUCCUUUCUCUGCUUGUCAAGGAGAGACUUGAGAAAUGCUUGUCUCUGCAGCCUGCCCCAAGACCCAUAAAUUGCUUCACAGGAUGGGGAAAUAUGCAGUAAAUGCAGACAAAUAAUAACCACGAUCCAAAGGGACUGAGUGGACUGCCUGGGCACUUCCAACGAGCGAAGGAAAAGUGCUGGUCCUACACUGUGCUCACAGGCUCUGCCACUAGGCAAUUGGAUGAGUGAGUUGAAUAGAUAUAUUAUAAGCUUAAAUUGAUCAUUUUUUGUGUAUGUACCUGUAUUAUAUUUCCCUGUCUGAAACAGGUUCCUUACUUUUCUGGAAAGAACACUCCAGAUCUUCCUAGCAUGAACCCAAUCUAUCUCAGUGUCAGUACCUAUUGUUUGAGCUGAGUUGAUUUAUCUCUCUUGCUGCAGGGAUGGAAUCUGACCUAUACCCAAACAAUCAGAAAAUUCCAUCUUCUUGAGCAUAAUGAUUGGUCCAGAGGUGGGUAGAUGAUCCAAACAGACCAAUUAGGUCUUGGAGUCUGUAGCAUAGAGAGACUAGGAAGUAUUUCAAUUCAGCUUUGAAAGAUAAACUUUUAUAAUGAGAAUAAGAGGAAAGGGCAGUAUGGGAGAAAGUGAGGAGCAUUUCAGGGAGUGCAAUAAAUUUGAGGUGACCGGGGCAUAGUGGUUAGGAGUGAUAAGAGAAGUGGCUGGAGAGACAGGCUGGAGCUCAGUUAGACACGCCGUUGUUCAGUGCUCAUAUUAAGGGCAAUAUGAGCAAGAACAGAAUGAUACGGCAACAUUCCUAUGUUACUAGUGACUAUGGUAGCUGAGUGGGGAAAGGACUGGAGUGUGGAGCCCAGGCAAGAAAGCUGACUUGGAGCCCAAGAAAAUCAUUAAAGAAAGUAGCAGCAUAUUCACUCUCUAAGGUCACUAAAUAUGUGGGAUCAUUGAUGCUUUUUUCCCCAAUUCCGUAUCCAAGACUGAUAUUGCUAGUUGAUCCACCUUUUCCAAUUUAACAUUGUCAACCCAGUGUUGCAGGUUGUCAUUAGCAACUAUUCAUCCACAUGACCACUCAAGUUGAAACCUACCUGCCCUUCUACACCAUUCAGUAAGUAGUUAAUAUGAUGGAUAGAAAUUCUCUUGGAGUGUCUCUUGCUUUAGGUUUUUGUGUUUUUUUGUAGAGCUAAGCUCAUAACUGGAAGUAAAUGGAUGAGGGUUUGCUAAACAGGAAACAAAAAUAUUUUGAGUGAAACCUAGGGCUCUAGGAGAGACCAACUUUCCUUUCUUUUCUCAAAGCAAACAUCAGCCCUGACCCAGCAACCAAAACAAAGUUGAUAGACUCCAUGGGAGGCAGUGUCUGGCUCAAGCCACUUUUAAUGGGAUGUGGAGCAUGUGCAUUUCCUUGAGGUCACAGUUUAAAUCUGACCUAUGGUUGUAAGACCCAUUGUCUGACAGCUCCUUGGCAGCUGCAGUGAAAUGAGUUAUGGGUCUCAGGACCAUUUCUAGUAGCAUGAGUCCACUUCAGCAAAGCCGUUCUGCAGUUACUGCUGGAGAGGGAGUGCUAAAUUGAAAGGCAAAGGAAUAAAUGGAGACAGGGCUGCUACAUCUGCCUGUCAAGAGGAAUUCCCAGAGCCACUAGUAGGCCCAUUGAGUUAAAGGCUGCAGUGAGAGCUUUCACCGGGGAAAGGACAGUCUCAGGCAGCGGGAUCUGGUCUCUUGCUGGCCAAAGAAAUAGAGUAAAAGAAAAAUCAGAAGCUCCAAUGGCCUGUCUUUUGGAUAGCAGAGAGGAGAUACCAGAUCUAGGCUCUUUAAAGUAGCAUCAAAUUUGCAUGUCAAUUAAAGAACAGAAAUUCCUUCUUUGGGCAGCACUCAGAGGCCAUGUCCUUCCCACAGGAUUUGAGAUUUUUCUCAAGGUUUCUCUCUUUUGACUUAGAAGUAUUUAUGAGCUGUGAUUGAAAAAUAUGAUGUGUGUUUAAAUUUAAACAAAUUGAUUACAGUAAAAGAUACUUUGCUAUUAACCCACCUAAGAACAUUCCUUUUCACUUCAAACACAUUUAUCCCCUAAUCUUUUUGCCACUUUUUAAAAGUAGUUGUAAAAGUCCUUUCUCAUAUCUUUUAUUCGCUGUCUUGACUGUCUCAGUGUCCUGAAUCAAUUUAAAAAUAUUUACCCCUCCUGACCAUUUUGACUUAUGGGAAGAGCCAGAAGUCACACUGUGUCAGAUCCAGUGACUAAAGCAGGCAAGUAUAUAUCAUAAUGUAUGAGCCUGUCUGUUGGACAACAUUCUGCAGGGGCAUUUACUAUUUAUUAUUUUAUUUUUAAAAUCACACCUAAUAAUUGCUUCAGAAAGUGGCAAGAAAGAUGAUAUCUUAAUUAUUUUUUAAUUGCUGAGACAUAAUACUGGACACUUGUAGCUUUAAGGGUGAAAGGUUUAUUUUGGCCCACACUUUGUAGAAGCUUCAGUCAUAGUUCAUUGGCUCCAAGGUGGGGUGACUGGCAGAGGAGAAAGAGCCAAUGGCAUGGUGUCUGGGAUAGGGAGGGGGAGAGGGAGAGGGAGAGAGAGAGAGAGAGAGAGAGAGAGAGAGAGAGAGAGACAGACAGAGACAGAGACAGAGAGAGAGAUCAAAGGAAGAACAGAGAAGAAAUAAACCCAGGACAUGCCCUCAGUGACUCACUUCCUCUAAUCAGACUUCACCUCCCAAAUCACAUUUAGCUUUAAACUCAUCAAUGGGUUAACCCACUGAUGAGCAUAACAUGUCUAUGUCCAAUAAACUCCCAAAGCCCCAGUUGAGUGCAUGAGGCUUGGGGGACAUCUAAACAUAAACCAUAACAGAUGGGAAAUAAGGAAGGUGUUUUGAAUAUUCACUGUAAAUUUUGAUCACCCCUUGCACAUUAAUUCCCAUUUUAUAAAUAAAGUAGCUAAGAGCUUAAAGGAAUAACUUGCCCAUCAUUUGAGAUAAAUGCAUACUUCUCAGAUAAAGAACUACAAAUGGCAAAUAAUAUAUGAAAAACGUUUGAUAUCUUUGGUCAUCUGAGAGAUACAAAUUAAAACAGCACUGAGAUUCCAUCUCAUUCUAGAAAGAAUGACUAUCAUCAAAAAUCAACCAGUAAUAAAUACUGGUGAGCCUGGGGGGAAAAUGCAACCCUUCUGCACUGUUGGCGGUAGUGUAGACUGGUGCAACCACUGUGGAAAUCAAUGUGGAGAUUCUUCAAAAAGCUAGGAUUGGAGGUCCCAUUUGAUCCAGUUGUUUCCCUUCUGAGUAAUUUCUUGGAAGAAUUUAAAACAGCACAGCACAGCUAUAUGUACACUGAUGCUUAUAAUAGUAGAAUUUAUAAUAGCUAAAUCUUGGAAACAACUCAAAUGCCCAUCAAUAGAGGAAUGAAUACAAAAGAUGUGAUAUUUUUAUUUAAAGGAGUAAAACUCAGCUCUAAAGAAAGAUAAACUUGAAGCUUUUAUAGGUGAAUGAAUGCAACUUGAGACUACACUCAUAAGUGAAAUAACUAGAUUCACAUGUGUAAACAACAUAUUGUCUCCCUAGUGUAAAAAAUUGAAAGCAUAAAUAAGAUCCAAAAUGUACAACAGAUACUGUAAAAGUGAAAGAGAAAGAAACUGCUUAAAUGGGAAGAAUAACUCGAAAGGGGGGAAGGAGAAAAGAAAGAAGGGAAAAUAUUAUAUAUACACAAUAUAGAUAAUAAUACUACUGAUCUCUAUUAGUUUAUCAAAAAGAAUGAUUAGUGCCUUCAUUGUUUAUUUUUUUCAUGCCUGUAUCUUGUGAUCUGAUCAACUAUUUUGAAGAUAACCAUACACAAUGUAUUAACCAUUGUUAAUGUCUUAUUAUUUUGUUUUGAAAUUCUGUACCAUCAUUUUAAUUUUUUUUUGUUUAAAAAAAAAUUGCCCAGGCUGCACAUCCAGAAGUGAUGAAACCCAGAUUUCUUCAAGUGUCAGACUGAUUCCUUAGCCCAUGUUGGUUUCAUUCUACUGCACAUAAAUAAAAGUUGCAUGUAAAUAAUGGUUGAGUGGGAAUAUCUGUCCCCAAGUAGAAUAAAAUAAAGUGACUUAAAAGUCCUUAAAAGCAGUGGAUACUGAGCACUCUGCUAAGCAUCUUGUAAGAAUAUUCCCAGUGAAUUCACAGACUACGCCAUGCACUGGGUUCUGUUCCCAUUUUACAUAUGAGGGAAUUUAGAGUUCAAUAUUUUAUCUAAGUUUCCUGGGCCCAAGUAAUACAGCUGAUGUUAGGAUUUAGGUCUAUUUUGCUCUAAAACACACACUCUGACUCAAUAAAACUGAUGUGGUACGUAUUUAUAGAGACUUACUGUUAGAGGCACAUGAAAUUACAUUGGGAGGACAUAAAUGAGUAUUUUUAAAAGGUAUUUAUAGAUAACUAUGAUAUUCAUCUGUUAUUUCAUUAAAAAGAACAUUUUGUACUUUCAUUGUUUGAUUGUUUGAUCAUUUGUUACAUGCCUUUAUAUUGUAGUCUAAACAACUACUUUGAAGACAACAGUAUGCAAUAAUCUCCUGUUAUGUUGUCUUGAAAGUCUGUAUCAUCAUUUUUAUUCCUUUUUUUGCUUUAAAAUAUAAAUAAAUUACCAUAGGUAAAUAAACUGCUUUUUUCCCACUGGGGUAAAAAAAGCAUUUCUUUUUUAAAACUUAAUUUAUAUAAAUUAAAAAGUGAGCCAAUUUAAAUGAAUUAAUUCAGUAAAACAAUUAAUAAUGUGGUACAUUAGGCAAAGAAGGCCCGCGUGGCUCAUGGAGGCAGCAGUUCGAGGGUCACUGUGCUUUGCUAGGCUGCUUUCUAGAGGUGACUCAGCCUGCUGCAAGCAGAGAGGAUUGUGCAGAGGCUGCAGGUGCUACUGCUAGCGGAGGUGGGCCUGCCUGCUCCGAAGAAUAUUGCUGCCUUGGGGGCCUUAAAGGAAAAGGAUUCUUCCUGUCAGCUCCUGUAUGCUGCACCAUGUGGGAAGGUGUUUAGUCUGCCUUACUUUUAAAUUCUGUCUGAAUGCCCACAGCCAAUUAAAGUCCCUCUUCCUCCGUGAAGCUCCUUGUGACUCCCUACUGCCCUCUUUUUUGUACCAUAAAAUUAGAUUCUUCACAAUGAAAUCUAGUAAUGUGCUGUUAUUUUUUAUCUUUAUUGUGACCAGAGGUAGGAAGUAUAUUUCAUAUCAUAUACUAACUCUUAAAGACUGACACUGGUGAGGGAACUGCUGGUUCCAAGGAAUUCUGAGGUUACGAGGGAGCUCUGCAGGAGAGACACCAUGAUCAAUUUCAGUGAUGCCUAUCACGGGGCAGGUGAAGUGAGAAGAGGCGUGCAUGCCACACAUUUAUCACUUGUUCUUGAUUCUCCAACCAGAUCUCGAGAAAAUGAUCCAUAUCUCAGACACUGCACUUUCCUUAGCAUGUCACAUAUUUAUAGAUUUACUGAUUCUGUCUCUCAUUUCUCCUGAAGAUUGAAUCUGUAAUUCCAAGAGAAUCAGAAGUCAUUGUAUUAAAUUUCACUGUGGAUUACAGGUAUUGAAUCUGCACUUCUGGUUUAAAGAUGAAAUAGCUGCUUACUAAAGAGCAAUUGACCUUUUCUUUUUCUCUCCACUUAAUCCACCAAGAACUGAACAGAGAAUUUAAGGAUGAGGGAAAGGAGCCAGGAAAGGAAAUGAAUCAGAAAAGCAAUGCCUUUAGGCCAAAAUGAGUUUCCAUAAUAGCAUUUAGGUGAUGAUUUUUUUCCAUAUGCUAACCCAGCUGUAUUUAAUCAUUUCCCCUUUUUGUAUGUAAUCUCUUUGUUUUUCUCUGUGAUUCUAUUACUUGUUGCCAAAGAGGAGACAGCUAACAGGUAAGAAUGGUUGGCUCCCUGGUCCUCUUUGCGAGAGAUUUCAUCAGCACCACGGUGAAGAGCAGCAGCUGUCAGGAUUCAUUCACAGUGGGACAUUGAUCUAGACAAGUGCCUGCAUGGGAACUGGAGGUAUCAAUUCGUAGUGGGGAAAAAUGAUCCACCAACAGAAUGCCAUCUACAUAUGUAGGGAAGGUGCUCCCUGACAAGGCUAUGCCAUAAGCACAGUGCCACUUCAGGCUCUGCUCAUCUCUCUUCUAGCCCUGCUUUACAGGUUCUCUUCACUGUCCUGAAAUGUUUAUUGCCUUCAGAGCAGAGCACACUUUUUCCUGAGAAAAGUACUUUAGAAUAUAUUUAAUAUAUUCUAAAAGUUCUUUAGAAUAUAUUUUUUCUAACUUUCCUAUCCUCUAGCAUCAGAGUUUUGUUCUUAGUUUGUUGAACACAUUCUAUGCAGCAUAAGUUGGUAUUUUCUAGUACUUCUAAUGACACUUAUAAGCCUAAUGCUCUGCAUUUGGUGGUCUAUUUAUUUUUUAGUGUCAUGGAAUCAUGCUAGUGGUAUGCAUACCAGGUUGUAUGACAGGCCAGGGGAGGAAACUUUGUGUUAUAAAGAUUUCCUUUGAAUGCAUGGUGCUGGAGACCAUUUUUGUAUCUGAGUGCUUCCUGGCAGUGGAUCUCAACCAGCAUCCUGCAGAAGUCAGCUGUCAAGUGUUGAUAAAUAAAAAUAUGUGAGCUGAUUUUUGCUGUGACAGAGACUCCCUGUGGGUAAAAUUGUGUCUGUUGGAAUUUAGAAUUAAGUGGCUCAUGCAAUGCUGUAUAAGCUUAAGACUUGCUGCAAAUAAAAGACAUAUCAUGCCAUUAAGGUGAUACCAAAAGAGACUAUGUUUACUGAAAUGUGAAAAUAACUGGGCCUUGUAUACAUAUAUAAAAGCAAAGUUAAGUCAGGAAAUGCGAUUACUUAAAUGUCUACUGAAAUCCCUGUUCUAAAGAAUGUUGUAUCAUUCUUAUUUCCAGAGACCAGAUUAUACCUGAUCAAGGAAGGCCCUCCAGAGCUGUAUCAUGACCUCAGGAACAAGAUCAAAAGCUCCUCAGCCUUUGAGAGUCAGAUCACACAUCAUCUUUUCCAGGAAGCUACUCUGUCUCUGAGAAACUGUGAUUGAAAUUCUUUGAAUGCUAGAAAUAUGUGAUGAAGAUGCCUUGAGUUGAGCAAGUUUCCUCUACUAGAUCCUUCCAUCAUGAUGUUUCUUCCCUAGAGUCAGACAGUCGUGCACUACAACCUCCGAAACUGGGAUUUAUUCUUCAUUUGAAGAGACAGACACAUAAACAAUUCAACACCAAAUCUCUAAAGUGCUGAAUAGAAGGCGUAUACGUCAUGUAAGGACAACAGAUUCUGCAUCAGGGGAAUCAAGCAAGUCUUUACAGAUGAAAUGUCUUGAAAGUAGGAUUCUGGUACAUGGGUAUCCUCGCUGAGGGGAUAAUGUGAACAAGGCACACAGGUAGAACUCUUUGGAACACAAAUUGAAAAUAAUGGGUGCUUCAGUUUGACUGGAUGUUGCAGAUUGUUGUGGCUAUUAUAUAACAGAAUGAAAAAAGUUGAGUUAACACUUUGUUCUGGAAGGCUUUCAAUAUGCAAAAAUAAGUUUUCAACAAUAGUAAAGGAAGACUUCAUUCACUUAUCCUUUUCUUCUUUUAUUCAACAAUAUUUAUUUACUGCUUUCUACCAAAAAUGAUUUUGAUGUUAAAGUGUGGAAUUGGAUAUAGGCAGGGAGUAUCCAGCCUAGCAAAGGAGAAAGAACCAUACAUAAGCAAUUGCAUUAGGGUAUUGAGUACCUUAAUAACUGGGGAGGAGGGAAGACAUCUUGCAAAGUGACCUGUCCCACCUGGGGUGAAUCAGAGAGAGCUUUUAGGGAAAUGACUCUAAGCUGGCAUCUGUGGGAAUGGCUCUAGUUUAAAAUAAGGUAAACGAGGUGAAGGGAGAAUAUUUUCAGUGGAUAAAUAGCUUGUGAGAUGAAUCAGAAGAGUCUCCAGACUUGCAAGAAAGUUGAAUGUUGGUACAGGGCUGAGUGCAAGGUGCCAGAGAUUGGAGGGCUUAUGGAGAUCAUACUAAUAGAGCCUUGUAACUCAUUCUGGGCUGUCCAGGCUUUAUCUAAAACUUGGAAAGAACUGAAGGUAGUGCUUGCUUUUGUUAUAGAGGGGCAGGGUGUGCACAGGAUCAAAUUCCAUUCGAAUUUUAGAAAAAUGUCUCAGUAGAUUAAAAUAUGGGAACUGGAAGAGGAAGAUCAACUUUGAGGCUAUUGCAGUCAUCUUGGCAAAUGAGUCUGUGUUCACUUUCUCCCCAAAUGCACUAUAAUGUAGGGGAAAGGAAGGGCAAUUUUGAUCAUCUCUGCAUCCUGUUAUGUGCACCACGAACUUGGUUAAUGAAGAAGGGAAUACUGGAUUUCUAUCAUGUUAGGCAUCGUUUCUAGUGAUUGUUGAGGGGAGACCUGAUGGAUCUGUGCUCUCCCAGUGGAAGGAGAAAGGAUUCUAUGUUCUUCCAUGAAGACUCUGGAAAUGUGGCCUUUGCAUCCUAUGGCAAUGUUUACUGAAUAUCACUGUCUUGAAAAAUUACUCUAUGUGUGGUUGGAUUGAUUUCUCAGAGACCAACAUUUGCCUGUGAAGGUGACAAAUGAGAAGCAGUGCCCUUUCACUCUAAUGAGACUGAAAGCCGGAAGCAGCGGCUACAGAGGGCUGUGAGUAGGGCGGCUGAUUUGACAGCAAUUGGGUGCACUUGUGAACUUUCUCUUUUUCCCCUAGGAAAUCAGAAUGGCAAGCAGCAUGGUAUCAGAAUGUGUCAUGCAAAAUUUCCUGACUCAGAGCUUGUCUGAUACCCUUGUCACUUGGAGUGGUCCUGUAAAUUUAUUCCAGAGGAUGGAAACUGCUUUUCUUGUUCUUGCAGACAUAUAGCUUUCCCCCUCUGUUUUCAUGCAAUUAUAAUUUUUGCAAAAAAUACUUUAGUAAGGAAAGACUUUAUUCACUUAUGCCUUCUUUUAUUUAUUUCAUGCUUUCUGCUAGUAACUAUUUUAAUCCUAAAGCACUGAGAAUUGGAUAUAUCCAAGGAGUUUCCAGGUUAGCAAAGGAGAGAGACUCACACAUUUGUUUGGUAUUUAUUUUUGAUUUGAUUGAAGAGUAUGAGAUGGGGAAAUGUGCAUCACUACUUGUAUUUAUGCUAAGACUGACUCAGAACAAUAGAACUGAAAUAGAGCGUAAAAUAUACCGAACUUGAAAACUAACCACCAGGUAGUAACUUGGUCCUAAAAUAUUUUUCAUCAUUGUGUGAAUUUUCUUUUCUUGCUGAGUAAAAAGUUGCUACACACUUAAUGGCUUGAAAUAGCAUGAAUUUAUCUGAAAAUGUCCAUGGAUCAGGAGUCUGGGCACUGAUUACCAGAUCUUCAGCUCAGAGUCUUACAAGGCUAAAAUAAGUCUUAGACAGCUGUGUCUUCUAUCUGGAGGUUAAACUCAGGAAACAUCCACUUCCAGACUCCCUUAUUUACAUGGACAGAAUUCGUUUUCGUGCACCUGUAGGACUAAAGUAAUUUCUUUCUUAAUAGUUUUCAAGUAGAGGCUGAUUCAGCCCCUGGAGACCACAUAUCAUACCUUAUCAUGUGCUCCAUGACACACUAUGUGGGUUUUCCCCCCAUUUUUUUCUCCAGAAUUUCUUGAUCAAUUUGAAUUUUUCAAACUGCUUUUAAGGGCUCACUUGAUUAGGUCAAGCCCAACCAGGAUAAUCUCCUUUUUGAUGAAUUUAAAGCUAACUGAUUAGGAACCUUAAAUCCAUCUGCAUUGUCCCUUCUGUCAUGUAAUGUGCCAUAAUCAUGGCAAUGCCUUGUCAUAAUCACAUGUCCCCUUCACACUUGAGGGGAGCUGAUUAUGCAGGAUGUGCUUAUUGGGGCAUGGCGCUCUGUGGCCUGUUUAGGCUUCUGAGUGCCACAGUUCCCAGCCAGGAUUGUCCACAGGCAGACCCCUUAAACUGAUGGAUCAUACUUUCUAAUUUGCAAAAUAAAUGUAUUCUGAUUUUACUUGUUCUUGUGCCGGUCGACUGUCAAGUGACACAAUGUUUGUGGCUUAUAAAUUAAAUUUAUGACUGCAUGCAUGAAGAAUUGUGCCCAUGAGAACUGGCUAGCUUCUAGAUGUGUUUUUUUCCCCCCUAACAUUAUAGUUUUUUAAAAUUAUCAACUUUUAAUUAUUGGACAUUUAGAUGUUUAUAAUGCUUAUUAUUACAUAUACUGAGUGUGAUAAGUUAUAAAUAAUUUUAAGGGUUUUUUUUUUUCCAUCCUUUUUUGAGAUGAAAUCUUGCUAAGUUACCCAGGCUGGCUUUGAACUUGCAAAUGCUCUUGUCUCAUCUUCUCAAAUAGUUAGAAUUGCAGGUAUACAUCAUUCUAAUCUAGUUCAGCUUAUUUAUUUUCAACAGAGAUUAAUUAGUUAUACCACAGAAGGGUACUAAUGGCGAACAGGUCUAAGCAUUCAAAACUUACCUGAAAUAAGAGAAAAGUGCAAAUCUGUGGGUCCUAUAUUUAUCCAAGGAUGUGAUAGAAUGACUUUUCAGAAUGAAUUGAAACCAAUAAAAAGGGAGGAAUGUAGAGAGAUAGUUUUCAAAAACUACUUUUCAGUUCCUGCCUUAGCAGCAUCUAAUUUUUAAAAUUAAAAAUCUAUUUUAUUAUUGUACUAGAUGUUAUUUUUAAAUAGUAAAAUUAGUUAAUUAGUUCAGAGAAUAGAGACAACUGAUCAAAGACCGAGACACUUUUUAAAAUGUUCUGUUUCUUUUGUUUGUUUAAGAGGAAAAUUAUUCCCUAACAUGUAAUGUAAAUUGAGAGACAAAAAUUACACAUUAAUGAGAAUGUACACAAAAUUGAUACUUUAUGCUUUGGACCUUAAGUUUUUUAUGAAUAAUUAGAAGCAUAAUACUGGUGACAGUGUAUAGUUCUUAUAUUUAUUAUUUCAUUUUUAACAAAUAUAUAUUGAAAACCAACUAUGGUGGGCAUUAUUCUAAGUGCUGGAGCACAUAAAAAAUAAAACAAGUGAAAUUCACUGCCAUAGUGGUGCUUUCCAUGAGGAUGAACAACAUAGGCAAUGAUAAAGCUCUCAGUCUUUAGUGUUUUUGAAAUGCCUUGACAUACUGUCUUUAUUCUUACACUGUAAGCCUGUAGAUAAGGAAGGGAGCAUUGCUAUCUUCAUUUUGUAAUUAUGAAGGUGAUUAUUGGUUAGGCCACUGUACCCGUUCAAAAUCACAUGGUGCAUAGCUGGGAAAGAGACCAUGAUGGACAUACAGUACAGGGAGCAAAGUAGGCAGACCGCUUUGAGUUACCUGAAAACAGUGACUUAUCAACUGGAAAGGUCUUCUAUGCGCUUUAAUUCUUUGGAAGAGCUUUUAUUUCUGUGUAAUAUUACAUAGAAAGAAGCACAGGGGAAAGAACAUUGGACUGGAAUCUUCUAGAACAGCUCUGUAAAUGGACGCUAGGUCCAUUUCCAGAAAGCAAGAAUUGUGCCUUUAUAUUUGUGUAUGGAGUUUUAUUUAUAAUGUACAUUCCCAGUUACUUCUAUUCAUCCCCAUGACCUGGUAAAAUGCCAGACUGGAGAGUUAAAUUUUAACAUAUAAGAGAAAUUGGGUCUGAGAAGUUGAGUGAAUUAAUCCAAACUGCACGGUAAUCAGUGGCUGAUAGAGCAUGAGGUAAUGGAAGUAGGUAAGCCUCACAUUUUGUUUGUAUUUGAAAAUUCACGAUACUUUAGAAUUUUAGUAAUCACAGUAAUAAUGAAAUAAUUCUGGGAAUUAUAUAUAUACAUUAUGGACAUGGUGGCCUAAAAUUAGCAGUGGUCCCUUUUGCAGUUUUAGGCAAAACUUUAAAGCAACUAAUCGUACACUACCCAGGCCUUUUGUAUAGACUCAUGAUGGGUUUUGGCCAUCCAUUUCCUUCACAUGGCCUUGCAUACUGAAAUUCAUUUGGAUCAUGGCUUCUGUUAUCUGAUCUAAUAAACGUAACAGUGGAAUAACAGGUUAAUAGAGAAAGUCAAAUUUUGUAGAAUGGGAUGUUGUUGGUACAGUCUAGUCAGUCUCACAGCAAAGUUGUGAAAUGGGUAAUAUUUGUCUUGUAUGUUUUCACUUGGCCUUCAUUUUUGGUAGGGUUUUUAUUACCUUUCAAAAAAUUAGAGGACAGUGGAAAAGAAAGCAACCCGCUCGCCUCCCUGGUAAGCAGCCAUGGCUCAGGCAAGUGGCAGCCGCCCCAGGAUGAGAACCAGCCAGCAUCUCCGGAGGUCCACACCAUGCUGGAACCUAGGGCACUGGGAAACCAAGCAACCUGCUUGUCUCCCUGAUAAGCAGCCAUGAGCCUGCUGGCACACAGACUGAGAAUCAAACAUCCCAUUUUCCCACUCCCCACCGUUAGCAAAUGGGAGCCAGAGGUCUGAGCAUCUCUUGGGAGGUUGGCCAUAUGCAAUAUAACAAAUAGGGGGAUUUCCUUCUACCAUCUCUUUGAAGGCCAGUAUUGUUAUCACUGUUUUGCUUUGUUCUGAUUAAUUGUUUUGCUUUAUUCAAUAUUCUGCUUUGCUAAGUUCUAUAAUGUUCUGUAUUUGGUUUGAUUUUGCUAUAUCUGAUUGAAAGAACAAUUAUUAUGAAGAUAAUGAGAUAUACUAUGGUACCUAUUACUGUUAUCCUGGUAACCUGAUGUGACGUCCUGUACCAAUUUCACUGCACUAUCUCAAUUGGCUUUAUUCUAUCUUGUUCUGUUGUAUUUCACUACCUUCAAAACAAUAAAAAAUUUAAAAAAUCAAA